AUGGGGUAUUAGUAAACCAAUUACAUGGCCUUGUCAAGACCAAGUCACAGGUGAAAGCCCUGUAUACCCCA
rnacentral:tRNA from 1 species